UUGGAGGGCAAGUCUGGUGCCAGCAGCCGCGGUAAUUCCAGCUCCAAUAGCGUAUAUUAAAGUUGUUGCAGUUAAAAAGCUCGUAGUCGGAUUUCGGGGUUAGUAGGUUGGUCAUGCCUCUGGUAUGUACUGGUCUCACUGAUUCCUCCUUCCUGAUGAACCGUAAUGCCAUUAAUUUGGUGUUGCGGGGAAUUUGGACUGUUACUUUGAAAAAAUUAGAGUGUUUAAAGCAAGCUAACGCUUGAAUACAUUGGCAUGGAAUAAUGAAAUAGGACGUUCGAUCCUAUUUUGUUGGUUUCUAGGAUUGACGUAAUGAUUAAUAGGGAUAGUUGGGGGCAUUAGUAUUCAAUUGUCAGAGGUGAAAUUCUUGGAUUUAUUGAAGACUAACUACUGCGAAAGCAUUUGCCAAGGAUGUUUUCAUUAAUCAAGAACGAAAGUUAGGGGAUCGAAGACGAUCAGAUACCGUCGUAGUCUUAACCAUAAACUAUGCCGACUAGGGAUCGGAUGAUGUUAAUUUUUUAAUGACUCAUUCGGCGCCUUACGGGAAAC
rnacentral:rRNA from 1 species